UCCCUCCCCAGACAGCGUAAGCCCCCAGAGUGCCUGGGGCGGGAGUGUGGCCAUCCUCGGGGCCCCUCGGUGGGGACCACAUGUGGUUAGUGCCGGGAGCUGGCCUGGGCCUUGGCAUCCAUCCCCUCCUGGCCUCCCUGCAGAUGGAGGGACUGACCGUGCCAGGGUUCCCAGGGCUGGGUUCUGAGGGAGCUUUUUAAAGCCACUUCCUGGGCCGGAAAGAGGAGGACACCAAUUAAGUGCCUGGCUGAGGCCUGAGACCCAAAUGGCCUUGAGUCCAAUCUUUCACUUAAAGUUCAAGUUUCCAAGAACCUGUCAAAGAUGCCAAGCUGGGAUCUUUGCAGAGAUCCCUCAAUUUGGGACUCCUUCCAAAGGACACAUCUUCCAACACUGGAAGAACCUUUCAAAGAACUCCCCAAAGGAGCCCGUCCAGGACACCACGUCCCACUCAGUCUUCUCGUCUCCUUAGGCUGCUCUGGUCUGUGACAGUAUCUUACCAUUCCUUGCUUUUGAUGAACUUGACUGUUUUGGGGAGCACAGCUCAGAUGCAUUGGGAAAUGCCCUCCAAUCCGAGUAGGUCUGCUGUUUCCAUCAUGGUUAGACCUGGAUGAUGGGUUUCUGUCACAUGGUAUCAGUAGAGGGUACAUGAUGCCCACAUAGCCUUGUUUUUUACUUUUAGGAAAUUCUGGAAAUUUCAACGAUCCCGCAUAUUUCUUAUGGGGUGUGCGCAUGUGUCUCACCAUCAUGUGUGUUAAGAUGUUAACACCACAUUAGCCUGCAAUUCAUCUUGCUCAGUCUCAGAGUCGGGGCAGUCCCCACACCCAAGAGACCCCUGUGGUUAAGCCUGAGGGAGGGCAAUGGGGAUUGGUUAUGGGAUGGUCCCUUGGAACCUAUGAACGUGGCCUUAUUUGGGAAAAGUGUCUUUGCAAAUGUGGUUUAGGAUCUCAAGAUGAAGUCCCCCUGGAUUAAUGUGGGCCCCAAGUCCAAUAAUAGGUGUCCCUAGCAGAGAGGAGAGGGUAGGCACAGGAGAAGCCCACGUGAAGUCGCAGGCAGAGAUUGGAGCACUGGGGUCACAAGCCAGGGACACCUGGAGUCCCCAGAAGCUGGCAGAGCCCAGGAAGGAUCAUCCCCUAGUGCCUCUGGAGGGAGUGUGACUCCGUCCACACUUCACUGUGGACUCCUGAGCUCCAGAACUGGAAGAGAAUAAGUUUCAAGCAACCCUUUUUGUGGUGAUUUGUUACAGUAGACAUAGGAGGCGAAUACGGGCACCAUAAAUUGCUAUUAUUAUUAUGAUUGCUAUUCCACCUGUCCUUCAACUGAAAGGCACAUCCCGUGUCAGCUGGGUGUAGCACUGCCGGGCUGUGUGCAAACUCCCUGUGACC